CACUCCCCAUGAGGAGCUGCAGCAGCCUUCAGGCCUCCCCUCAGCUCCUCUGCUCUGGGCUGCACAAACCAACGGAUUUCAGGCAGUCCUCAUGUGUCUUGCCUUCUAAACCUUCCACCAUCUUCAUUGUCCUCCUUUGGACACUUUCUAAUCGUUUUAUGUCCUUCUAAGACUGUGGUACCCAGAACUGUACACAGUUCUCAAGGUGAGGUGUUGAGUGGGUAGCAGUGACCACACACGGGUUCUGCUCUAAUGUACUAGACAUGAAAUUAUAUCCUAGAAAUAAUUAUAAAAAACCAAACACAAUGCCAGAUCUCUUGUAUCAAAUACAAAACCCAGGAGCAAGUAAAGCUGUAAUUAAAAACUGUAAUUAAAAUUAAAAAAUUUUAACAUGACAGAGCACAGUCUUUGGUUGAGAUAAAGCAUCCAUGUCAGCAUGUUAUCUUAAUCAUGCCCUUGCCUGUCUAUAAGAAACAAACAAACAAACAAAGUCUACAUUUUUUAAAGUCCUAUAGCCUUGUUUUUUGGAAGAUGUAUUAAUAUUUCCUGAAUCAAUGUUCUGUCUCCAUGCACAGCCAUUACACACUUCACAGAGAUUCAGCAGCAAUAUUUCUAGAGGAUUGAACAGCUUGUCUCAGGACUUCAGAAAUGAAAGAUAAAAGGAAAGUUUUGAAGGUUCAGUAUUUUAGAGAGCUCAUUUUUUUUAUGCUGUGAUUUUUUUUUUUUUUUUAAUAUAUCAAAAGCAUACUUGACAUUGCCAAGGACAAAGCAAUUUCUUUCACCUGUGUUUUUGCACUCAAGCUUAGUGGAUAUCCAAAGGCAUCCUUUGUAAGCUAUCACUGUGAGUUCAGCUGCAGUUUUGCUCUCCCAUAUUUUACUGGAGAUAUUUGUGGAUGCCCUCUGGAUCUGAGGUAGCAUGGCAUUCACAGAGAAUUCUGUGAAUCCUUCCUCAGGUCUGGGGCUGUAGGGUCACCCCAGGCUAUCAGGUCACACACCAUUGUGCAGAGCUAUGCGGUGUACUGGCAGCAUCAGCUGCUGGCUGAGCACUGAGCUGGCUACGCAUGCAGGGAAGUGCUCUCAGAUAUCUAGUUAGUGCUUGAUCUUUGCUGUUUGGGAUCUCCUGCCUCAGCAGAAAACCUCCACACGGGAGAUAUUGCCUCAAAGGUAUUCUCUUCCUGGAAGUGUUUUAAGUACAGUGGUGGAAUAGUGCCAAAAAUGUAUUUUAGCAAACAAACAAUGCCAGUCACUGGUGUAAGUGAUUAGCUCCAAUUCACGUGCAAAUAGUGACAGCAGAUAAAGGGCCUAUAGGGCAUCCCCACAGAAGAACAGAACACUGGUAGGAAGGAGGAAAACUGCUGCCCGUACACUUGCCAAUAAUGCUUAUUACCCAACACUACAAAUGAGUCAUUUCUUUUCAGACUGCAUUACAGAAUACAGCAAUGAACAGAACAGAAAAUCUCCAGGAGAGAGGCCAAGAGAGGGUGUUCUGCACAGCGAGAUAUUCUUGCUACAAGUAAAAUGUGAUCAAAGGCAUUGAAAUAUCAGCCUAAGGGCUCCCUAAAUCAUCUAGUAGCAGAUUGGAGCAGUGUACCCCACAGAUCCAUGAACUGGUUUGUUUCUGGCAGGAAGAGAUGGAGAUGACAAAACCUUUGAAAGUCAGGAAUGUGUCUGGCUGUGUAUUACUGAACUUUCCUACAAGACUCAAACCUGACUAGUUUGUUCUGCUGUGCACCAAUACAUGCAGCAGUUCUUGCUUGGGAUGCACUGAGAAUCACAGUGUAUCAUCCAAAAAUUCACAGAGUUACAUAUAAACAGAGAUAUUACUGCUUAUUACAGCUCAGCAAAGUGGACUCUUAGACCAGCCAACCAACUUAUAAGACCUGGAUUUCAGGUGCUAAAGGUGAGCACAAGAGCACCUUCCUUGGGAUGAACAUGCUUGCAGAAAGCCUGAUGCCAGAGGUAUCCCAAGCUAUACAAGAGAUAAGGAUCUCCACGAUGGUGUCACUGUCAGAAGCGUCCAUAUGGAAAUGGAAACUUGCUUUUCUUGCUUCUUAAAGACUGUCUAAAAGACAGUUCACAGAACUCAGGGAUUUCCAGAGAGUAGGCUGAAAAUCACUAUUCUGUAACAUUCUUUUGAGUAUUACUCCAUAAAUUAGAUGUACAUCGCAAAUGCAGGGUAUGAUUAUUUCAAGCCUGAAAUAGAAACAACCUAGAACUGGUAUGAGCCAAAAGUCUGAACUGACAAGAAAGCUCACCAAGUUGAUUGGAAAGUGAGAUUACAGGUCCUCACAUACAGAAUUAAAAUGUAGCUCUGUUGAAUUCUACACUUUCAAGUAGCUCGAAGAGAUUUGCAUUUGAUCAGAAGGUCUCUAUUUGAAACUGGAAAUGUACUUCUUGUGCCUUAUCAUGGGCCACUGAUUCACAUUAAAAGAGUGAUCACGUUGACAUUAACAAUAGAGAUGGAAAAUCUUUAUAGCCACUCUUUUUCCUGCUUGGUGUCUAUCUAAGCAAAAUCCGUGGCAAAGGAAAGUUCCACACAAAAGUUUGUAACUGCCUUUGUAUUGGACCUCUCCAGCAGAAAAAGAAACAAGAAACUGUAGACGGUCACAAGUUGGGCUACAGACAAGAUUACCUCCUUGCCUGCUAUCAUGGCAGCUAAUUACUGGCACAACUAAAAUCACAGUAGGAAAAGAAGCGUUCAGUUUUGCAGCAAUAGCAUACCUCUAAGACAAUUUCACAAGUGGAAUUUUGAUAAAGAAGGAACUGAUUCCAGGUGUGCUUCUUUUAAGACCUCAGCUAAUGAGAAACUGUGCUCCUUUCAACAGAUUGCUUCUAACUUUGGUAGUCUGAGAGGAGCUGGUGCUGAGCAAUAUAAAACAUACUUAACAACAUCAUGGUUCUUAUUUAAUAAUAUGCAGGUACAGAAACUGGGGGUAACUGGAAUGUGUAACUAAGUACAUGAAAAUAAACAAAGUUUCUGAAAGCAAA